rnacentral:rRNA from 1 species
UACGGAGGGUGCAAGCGUUAUCCGGAUUCACUGGGUUUAAAGGGUGCGUAGGAGGGCAGGUAAGUCAGUGGUGAAAUCUUCGAGCUUAACUCGGAAACUGCCGUUGAUACUAUCUGUCUUGAAUACCGUGGAGAUGAGCGGAAUAUGUCAUGUAGCGGUGAAAUGCUUAGAUAUGACAUAGAACACCAAUUGCGAAGGCAGCUCGUUACACGAAUAUUGACGCUGAGGCACGAAAGCGUGGGGAUCAAACAGG